rnacentral:misc_RNA from 1 species
AUGGACCAACCAUCAGAAGAACCACCAUGGGAUCCCACUGCUAAGUCAUGGCUGCAAGUGGAGAGCACAAAUGAUGACCUUCCUUCGGAUAAAGAGUAAUUGUUUGGCGACUUCAAUCCCAUAAUUUGACUAUCAGAAAUCUGCCUUAAUAGCCGAUGCCCAGGUGAACGCCGAGUCCUUCUUGAAGGGGUUGAGUUUGGGGGAAGUGGAUGACCACAGGGAGGCAAAGGAUUAGCUCCCGGUGUUGAAAAUGAUGAAUGUACAGAAAAUGAAAGCUUUGGGGCAGGUAUCUCUGCAAUAUCAGGAGACUCUGAAGAGUUCUUUCCAUUGACAGGGUAAUUGUGUUCCAUGGAUAGGCCUGAAGGUUGAGCUAUAAGAUUUGUUACAGUUCCUUCCUGUACAGGAGACUUUAGAGAGACGGGUGAUCCAAAACUCUCAUGCAGACUAACCUCAUCAGAAAGAUUACCUCUAUCAGAGCCUAGCAGCCCCUUCACCUCCGCACUAACAUCUCUGCUGAAUCUAUGAGAAGUUUGAUAUGGUGAAUCAUCA